GGGUCCGGAAAAAAUCCGGAGGGUUUUUAGAUGGUCGGGCCACCAUCU
rnacentral:ncRNA from 2 species